AUGGGGUGACUGCGUACCUUUUGUAUAAUGGGUCAGCGACUUAUAUUCUGUAGCAAGGUUAACCGAAUAGGGGAGCCGAAGGGAAACCGAGUCUUAACUGGGCGUUAAGUUGCAGGGUAUAGACCCGAAACCCGGUGAUCUAGCCAUGGGCAGGUUGAAGGUUGGGUAACACUAACUGGAGGACCGAACCGACUAAUGUUGAAAAAUUAGCGGAUGACUUGUGGCUGGGGGUGAAAGGCCAAUCAAACCGGGAGAUAGCUGGUUCUCCCCGAAAGCUAUUUAGGUAGCGCCUCGUGAAUUCAUCUCCGGGGGUAGAGCACUGUUUCGGCAAGGGGGUCAUCCCGACUUACCAACCCGAUGCAAACUGCGAAUACCGGAGAAUGUUAUCACGGGAGACACACGGCGGGUGCUAACGUCCGUCGUGAAGAGGGAAACAACCCAGACCGCCAGCUAAGGUCCCAAAGUCAUGGUUAAGUGGGAAACGAUGUGGGAAGGCCCAGACAGCCAGGAUGUUGGCUUAGAAGCAGCCAUCAUUUAAAGAAAGCGUAAUAG
rnacentral:rRNA from 1 species